rnacentral:rRNA from 1 species
CCCAUCAGCCAUAUCACCCUGCAGCUCUCAGUUAGCUACCCACUGAAGUUAAGCAGGGUUAAGCCUGGUCAGUACCUGGAUGAAAGACCUCCUGGGAAGCUAUGGUUGCUGCUGGAA